GCAGAGGGCUUUCUAUAUCAUGGGGUUCUUUCCCUAGCCCACAGGAAAAAUCAGUUCACACGUGCUUAGAGAAUGAGUGCAAGGUUUUAUUGAGUGGUGGAAGUAGCUCUCGGGAUGGAUGGGGAGCCAGAAGGGGGAUGGAGUGGGAAGGUGGUCUUCCACUAGAGUCGGGCCACUCAUUGGUCUGGUUCUCCUUGUACUGCCUUUGGCUGAAUUUCCCUCAGUGUCUGCAUUGUUCCACUGUUGAUGGCCUGUUGAUGUUUGUGUGUUCUUCUGCCAGUGUGGUGGUCUUGACAUCCAGCCACUUGUGUGUAUCCCCACUAUGGUUUCAGAGUUUUUGUAGGCACAGUGUGAGGGGUGUGGUGGGCCAGGGUGGUCUUGGAAAAUGCAACAUUUGAGCAUGAAAACAGUGCUGGUCCUCACCUGGAUUCAUGGGCACAGGCCUGAAGGUGGAGCCCUCACCAGGGACCCCGACUUUCUCUACCCAGCACUUCCCCGCCACCCCUCCUGCAUCAUAUUCAUGAAGAUUGAUAAUGUGGUUAGUCUCAGACUAAUGAGCUGAGGAAGUCAGAUACAAAAUGGUACAUACUGUAUGAUUCCAUGUAUAGAAAGUUUAAAUGGUAAAACUAUCAUUAUAGAUGCCUUGAAGGGAUGUUUACAAAGAGGGUUUUUAUGGUGUCGAUAAGUGAUGUUCUUUUUGUAGGUAUACUUCAGAGAUAGAUGUUCGCCUUGUAAUUCAUUGAGCCGUACAUUUACUAUGCAUGCAUGUUUCUGUUUACCAGAUGUAUUUUGUAGAUGACUUUUCCCCAAAAGUAUUAUUUUAUAAAACCUUUCAUAAACAGCUCCAUGAAUUUUGGCAAAUACACUGUUGUUAUAAACUCACAGUUAGAUCAAUAUGUGGAAUAUUUCUAGCAUUCCUAAGAACUUUGUAUUUCGUCUUAAACUUAGGAAAUCAGUAGUAUUAGUGGCUCCAUGUCACCAUUGAGGAACAUUGGCACAGGAAGUUAAGAACCUGUCUGUUGGUACUACCAGCUCUUCUUUGGAUAAUUUUUGCCUGCCCAUUGUGUCAGAGAUGGCAAAGAGGACAGUGAUAUUAGCUGCCUUUCUUUGUGAGAUGAAAUUGUCAACCAGUAUGUUGUCCUGGAAAAUAAUACUCUCUUUCCACAUGACUAGGCCAAAAGCAAUCUGGGUGGUGGAGCAUCAGACACUCUUCUGAAUCAUUUCCCAAUCAUUGUCAUCCUUGAUGAUGCUAUGGGGUCUCAAGAAUUGCCAGUGCCAGGUGCAGGGGUGCUAAUAGCAGGCUAGAAACUGCUCCUCGAGGAUGUAAUCAUCGUCUAUCAAGCUGGAUUGUCAGUUUUUGUUUUUUACUGGCAAACCAAAGAAGUGAGGCUGAAGCCCUAGGAAUUUCAUUGUACAUACGUUUAAGCUCUGAUGCUUUUAUUGGACCUAGAUAAGGUAGGUGUUGACUGAAGCAAAUACAUGCUACAUCAUGGGGUUUCAUGUGGAUUCUCUAAUUCAAAUAAAAUUCUCAGUGGCCUCAUGUAGUGCCACCUUUGUCUUAGAAUGACCCAAUGCUCUCAUCUCAUAACAUUUUGUUCACUAUUACAAGAGAUUUCUAGCUUCCCUUAGGAAUUAAGAGCCCUCACCUAGACUGCAGCUCUCUAGUGACAUGAGAGGUCCAGGGAAGUUAUGUGUCUGUUUCUGAAAAGCAUAGGAUUAGAAAUUAAAAUAGGUUUAUUAAUGAUAUCUGGCAGAGAAAGUGAUGAGAGAUGCUUAUCAAAAUGGCAAAAAAAAUUCCAGGAUGUGUAAGAAAGAAAGCCUGCAGUAGUUGAGAAUUAUGAAAUUACUCAUAUUGGCCCUAUCUCAACUGUCUUGUGAGAUUUGGCAACAAGUACAAGCAAAAAGAAAAGUUUUCUUUACCCUGACACACUUCAUGAGGAAGGUGGGGCACCAAGGAAGGGAAUACAUGGCCAGACCUUAAAAGUUUUAUAGGUUGAUGACACAGGGAUAUGAAGGGAGUAAAAUAUUUUACCCAGCCCAUGCUCAAGAUGGAGUCACUCUGGUUUGAAUGCCUCUGACAGCAGGAGGAUAGUUAAAAUCAUGACACAGUUUCUAAAUGAAUAUGAAAUGAUUGUUCUCUUGUAUCAAGGAUAAAGCAAGAGGGAACAGAAGCAACUCUACAAGUAACCCAAACUGUGCUAUUUCAGAUUAUUUUGUUGUCCUGCCAACUGUUAUUCAUUCCCUGGUCUUCUGUUAGUUAAAGGAUCACCAACAAAUUCUAAAAUAUAAAAGAUUAUUGGCUGGUAAAACUAGAUGUAUCUAUAAUAAAAUGAAGAACUCAAUUAUGUUUAAUUAUUGAACACAUGAGUAAGUAUGUAUAUUUUAAAACUACUCAAACUGUCCUCCUAGCUUAAUUUUAAGUUUGCAUUUUUUGAUAGAUGAAUUAUUUGGAGUAAUUCAGUUGAGAGCUAAUACCUAAUCUGAUUUGUGUUAAAAUACGAAAAAUCUGAGCUGAAUUCAGUAGCUCAUGCCUGCCUGUCCUAGUUACUUGGGAGGCUGAAGAGGGAGGAUGGCUUAAGCCCAAAGGUUUGAAGCUGCAGUAAAAAAAAUCAACUAAAAAUCUGCAUUUCUUUGCUUAAUUAAAAUAUUACUUUCAGAUAAUAAGUUCCAAAAUUAUAAAAUCUGGAAGGGUACAGUAGCUCAUUCCUGUAAUCCUAGCACUUUGGGAGGCUGAGGCGGGUGGAUCACCUGAAAUCAGGACUUUGAGUCCAGCCUGGCCAACAUGGUGAAACCCCGACUGUACUAAAAAUACAAAAGUUAGCUGGUCAUGGUGGUAUAGCCUGAAAUCCCAGCUACUUGGGAGGCUGAGGCAGGAGAAUCGCUUGAACCCAAGAGGCAGAGGUUGCAGUGGGCUGAGAUUGUGCAACUGCCCUCCAGCCUGAGUUUGUCUAAAAAAAAAAAAAA
rnacentral:lncRNA from 1 species